UACAGAGGGUGCAAGCGUUAAUCGGAAUUAUUGGGCGUAAAGGGCUUGUAGGUUGUUCUAUAAGUUAGAUGUGAAACCCCUGGGCUUAACCUGGGACGUGCAUUUAAUACUGUAGAGCUAGAGUAUGGUAGAGGAGUAGGGAAUUCCUGGUGUAGCAGUGAAAUGCGUAGAGAUCAGGAGGAACAUCAGUGGCGAAGGCGCUACUCUGGACUAAUACUGACACUGAGGAGCGAAGGCGUGGGGAGCAAACAGG
rnacentral:rRNA from 1 species